rnacentral:rRNA from 1 species
UACGUAGGGGGCAAGCGUUGUCCGGAAUCAUUGGGCGUAAAGAGCGUGUAGGCGGCCAGAUAAGUCCGCUGUGAAAUCUCGAGGCUCAACUUCGAGCUGUCGGUGGAAACUGUCUGGCUAGAGUCCGGAAGAGGAGAAUGGAAUUUACGGUGUAGCGGUGAAAUGCGUAGAUAUCUGCAGGAACACCCGUGGCGAAAGCGGCGCGCUGGACCACUACUGACGCUGAGGAACGAAAGCUAGGGGAGCAAACAGG